UACGUAGGGUGCAAGCGUUAAUCGGAAUUACUGGGCGUAAAGCGUGCGCAGGCGGCUUUGCAAGACAGAUGUGAAAUCCCCGGGCUUAACCUGGGAACUGCAAUUGUGACUGCAUGGCUAGAGUGCGGCAGAGGGGGAUGGAAUUCCGCGUGUAGCAGUGAAAUGCGUAGAUAUGCGGAGGAACACCGAUGGCGAAGGCAAUCCCCUGGGCCUGCACUGACGCUCAUGCACGAAAGCGUGGGGAGCAAACAGG
rnacentral:rRNA from 1 species